rnacentral:rRNA from 1 species
UACAGAGGUCUCGAGCGUUAGGCGGAAUCACUGGGCUUACAGAGUUCGUAGGCGGUCUGGAAAGUUGGGUGUGAAAUCCCUCGGCUCAACCGAGGAACUGCGCUUGAAACUACCAGACUCGAGGGAGAUAGAGGAAAGCGGAACUGAUGGUGGAGCGGUGAAAUGCGUUGAUAUCAUCAGGAACACCGGUGGCGAAGGCGGCUUUCUGGGUCUUACCUGACGCUGAGGAACGAAAGCCAGGGGAGCGAACGGG